AUGUCGUAUCAACAUUAAUAAUUUGUCGUAUGGUGCAGAUCUCGUACAACAGUGUUCCAGCAGUAAAACAUUGGAAGCGAUAUACUUCACGGACGUUUGCACAUGCGUUUGAAGGCGUUAACCCAAGAGCCCUGCUGUUGGAUGUUCCUGUAGAUUUUUCUGACAGUGCCAGUUGCAGAGACAUUCUUCACAAGUUAUUAUGAGUAAACAUGAAGAAAGAAGCUUCCAUAGCAAGACAGUACUAAACCAGCCCCUCUUCAAAAUCUUUACCAAAAUUAUGUUGUGAGACCGGGUGCAAAGGAAAUUACCGGACAGGACUGAAAGUGCAAGUUUUUACAUUUCCAAAGGAAGAAAAAUUUUAGAAAAAUGGAAACUGGCUAUCCCAAGGGAAAAUUUAACAAUCAGCAAAACAACAAAUGGACGCAGCAACUGCAGCAUGCCCCACAACGAGCUUCUGCAACAACAAAGCAUGUCUGGACCUGCACAAGUGGUGACAACCUCUGGUGUGUCUGGACCAGAAGCGGCCUGCAGCGUGUUGGGACCUGCACAAGUGACAGUGACCCCUAGCAUGUGGGAUCUUGUAGCACACUUGGUCAGCAUGUUGGAGCAGGACUCUUAGUACUAUACCAUUUUUACGUAAUAUUUUCGUUGUGUGAGGUUUUGAUUAGUUUUUUUGACCUUAAGUUUUAUUAUGGCCCAUUUGUGAAGAGUUUCACACCUGUUAAACAUCACACACAACUUUCAGUGCGUAGUAUACAUCGAGAAUAACUUACAUCAACAAACAGUUACAAAGAUGUUUUUAGAUGCAUGAAUCUAAAAAACAUCUUUGUAACUGCUUGUGUAUCUAAGUUAACAAGAAAACAAAACCAAGCGGAUCUUCACACAUCGAAAACAUUACGUAAAAAUGGCAUAGUACAAAGAAAAAACACAUGAAAAUAGGAAUUAUUUCCUGAAACAUGUCGUGUAAAGUAUGAAUAAAAGGAUAUUGUGACUGGUU